rnacentral:rRNA from 2 species
GUUGACCUCGGAUCAGGUAGGGAUACCCGCUGAACUUAAGCAUAUCAAUAAGCGGAGGAAAAGAAACCAACAG